UCGGGAAUUUUGGGCAAUGGGCGAAAGCCUGACCCAGCAACGCCGCGUGAAGGAUGAAGUAUUUCGGUAUGUAAACUUCGUAAGAAUAGGAAGAAUAAAUGACGGUACUAUUUGUAAGGUCCGGCUAACUACGUGCCAGCAGCCGCGGUAAUACGUAGGGACCAAGCGUUGUUCGGAUUUACUGGGCGUAAAGGGCGCGUAGGCGGUGUGUCAAGUCAGUUGUGAAAUCUCCGAGCUUAACUCGGAACGGUCAACUGAUACUGUCACACUAGAGUACAGAAGGGGCAAUCGGAAUUCUUGGUGUAGCGGUGAAAUGCGUAGAUAUCAAGAGGAACACCUGAGGUGAAGACGGGUUGCUGGGCUGAUACUGACGCUGAGGCGCGAAAGCUAGGGUAGCAAACGGGAUUAGAUACCCAAGUAGUCCCUGAGCGGGCUGGCAAGGCGCAU
rnacentral:rRNA from 1 species